rnacentral:rRNA from 1 species
UUAAGCGACUAAGCGUACACGGUGGAUGCCCUGGCAGUCAGAGGCGAUGAAGGACGUGCUAAUCUGCGAAAAGCGUCGGUAAGGUGAUAUGAACCGUUAUAACCGGCGAUGUCCGAAUGGGGAAACCCAGUGCAAUUCGUUGCACUAUCGUUAACUGAAUACAUAGGUUAACGAGGCGAACCGGGGGAACUGAAACAUCUAAGUACCCCGAGGAAAAGAAAUCAACCGAGAUUCCCCCAGUAGCGGCGAGCGAACGGGGAGCAGCCCAGAGUCUGAAUCAGCUUGUGUGUUAGUGGAACGGUCUGGAAAGUCCGACGGUACAGGGUGAUAGUCCCGUACACCAAAAUGCACAGGUUGUGAACUCGAAGAGUAGGGCGGGACACGUGGUAUCCUGUCUGAAUAUGGGGGGACCAUCCUCCAAGGCUAAAUACUCCUGACUGACCGAUAGUGAACCAGUACCGUGAGGGAAAGGCGAAAAGAACCCCGGCGAGGGGAGUGAAAAAGAACCUGAAACCGUGUACGUACAAGCAGUGGGAGCACCUUCGGGUGUGACUGCGUACCUUUUGUAUAAUGGGUCAGCGACUUAUAUUCUGUAGCAAGGUUAACCGUAUAGGGGAGCCGCAGGGAAACCGAGUCUUAACUGGGCGUUAAGUUGCAGGGUAUAGACCCGAAACCCGGUGAUCUAGCCAUGGGCAGGUUGAAGGUUGGGUAACACUAACUGGAGGACCGAACCGACUAAUGUUGAAAAAUUAGCGGAUGACUUGUGGCUGGGGGUGAAAGGCCAAUCAAACCGGGAGAUAGCUGGUUCUCCCCGAAAGCUAUUUAGGUAGCGCCUCGUGAAUUCAUCUUCGGGGGUAGAGCACUGUUUCGGCUAGGGGGUCAUCCCGACUUACCAACCCGAUGCAAACUACGAAUACCGAAGAAUGUUAUCACGGGAGACACACGGCGGGUGCUAACGUCCGUCGUGAAGAGGGAAACAACCCAGACCGCCAGCUAAGGUCCCAAAGUCAUGGUUAAGUGGGAAACGAUGUGGGAAGGCACAGACAGCCAGGAUGUUGGCUUAGAAGCAGCCAUCAUUUAAAGAAAGCGUAAUAGCUCACUGGUCGAGUCGGCCUGCGCGGAAGAUGUAACGGGGCUAAACCAUGCACCGAAGCUGCGGCAGCGACACUAUGUGUUGUUGGGUAGGGGAGCGUUCUGUAAGCCUGCGAAGGUGACCUGUGAGGGUUGCUGGAGGUAUCAGAAGUGCGAAUGCUGACAUAAGUAACGAUAAAGCGGGUGAAAAGCCCGCUCGCCGGAAGACCAAGGGUUCCUGUCCAACGUUAAUCGGGGCAGGGUGAGUCGACCCCUAAGGCGAGGCCGAAAGGCGUAGUCGAUGGGAAACAGGUUAAUAUUCCUGUACUUGGUGUUACUGCGAAGGGGGGACGGAGAAGGCUAUGUUAGCCGGGCGACGGUUGUCCCGGUUUAAGCAUGUAGGCUGGUUAUCCAGGCAAAUCCGGAUAAUCAAGGCUGAGGUGUGAUGACGAGGCACUACGGUGCUGAAGUAACAAAUGCCCUGCUUCCAGGAAAAGCCUCUAAGCAUCAGGUAACAUCAAAUCGUACCCCAAACCGACACAGGUGGUCAGGUAGAGAAUACCAAGGCGCUUGAGAGAACUCGGGUGAAGGAACUAGGCAAAAUGGUGCCGUAACUUCGGGAGAAGGCACGCUGGUGUGUAGGUGAAGUCCCUGCGGAUGGAGCUGAGACCAGUCGAAGAUACCAGCUGGCUGCAACUGUUUAUUAAAAACACAGCACUGUGCAAACACGAAAGUGGACGUAUACGGUGUGACGCCUGCCCGGUGCCGGAAGGUUAAUUGAUGGGGUUAUCCGUAAGGAGAAGCUCUUGAUCGAAGCCCCGGUAAACGGCGGCCGUAACUAUAACGGUCCUAAGGUAGCGAAAUUCCUUGUCGGGUAAGUUCCGACCUGCACGAAUGGCGUAAUGAUGGCCAGGCUGUCUCCACCCGAGACUCAGUGAAAUUGAACUCGCUGUGAAGAUGCAGUGUACCCGCGGCAAGACGGAAAGACCCCGUGAACCUUUACUAUAGCUUGACACUGAACAUUGAGCCUUGAUGUGUAGGAUAGGUGGGAGGCUUUGAAGCGUGGACGCCAGUCUGCGUGGAGCCAACCUUGAAAUACCACCCUUUAAUGUUUGAUGUUCUAACGUUGGCCCCUGACCGGGGUUGCGGACAGUGUCUGGUGGGUAGUUUGACUGGGGCGGUCUCCUCCCAAAGCGUAACGGAGGAGCACGAAGGUUAGCUAAUCCUGGUCGGACAUCAGGAGGUUAGUGCAAUGGCAUAAGCUAGCUUGACUGCGAGCGUGACGGCGCGAGCAGGUGCGAAAGCAGGUCAUAGUGAUCCGGUGGUUCUGAAUGGAAGGGCCAUCGCUCAACGGAUAAAAGGUACUCCGGGGAUAACAGGCUGAUACCGCCCAAGAGUUCAUAUCGACGGCGGUGUUUGGCACCUCGAUGUCGGCUCAUCACAUCCUGGGGCUGAAGUAGGUCCCAAGGGUAUGGCUGUUCGCCAUUUAAAGUGGUACGCGAGCUGGGUUUAGAACGUCGUGAGACAGUUCGGUCCCUAUCUGCCGUGGGCGCUGGAGAAUUGAGGGGGGCUGCUCCUAGUACGAGAGGACCGGAGUGGACGCAUCACUGGUGUUCGGGUUGUCAUGCCAAUGGCACUGCCCGGUAGCUAAAUGCGGAAGAGAUAAGUGCUGAAAGCAUCUAAGCACGAAACUUGCCCCGAGAUGAGUUCUCCCUGAGACUUUAAGUCUCCUGAAGGAACGUUAAAGACGAUGACGUUGAUAGGCCGGGUGUGUAAGCGCAGCGAUGCGUUGAGCUAACCGGUACUAAUGAACCGUGAGGCUUAACCU